rnacentral:rRNA from 1 species
UAUUAUAAAAAAUUUAAUAAUUAAAAAUAGAGUAGUAUUAGUUAUAUUCUUAAAACUUAAUAAAUUUGGCGGUAUUUUAAUCUAUUCAGAGGAACUUGUUUUAUAAUUGAUAAUCCUCAUUUAAUCUUACUUAAUUUUGUUUAAUUUGUAUACCGUCGUCAUAAGAAUUUCUUAAAAAAGAAAAAAUUUUCUAAAAUUUUUAUUAAUAAUAAUGUCAGAUCAAGGUGCAGUUUAUAUUUAAGUAAAAAUGAGUUACAAUAAAAUUAUUUAUAAUGGAUUAAAAAAUUUAAUUUUUUUAUGAAAGUGGAUUUGAUAGUAAAAUAAAAUAUUAAAUUUAUUUGAUUAUAGUUCUAAAAUAUGUACAUAUCGCCCGUCACUCUCGUUAAUUAAAAUGAG